rnacentral:lncRNA from 1 species
AUAUAUUCAUAAAUACAAAUAAGAAUCUUCAGAGUCUGUACAUGGGUGUUUGGCAGGGUUAUGAGCAGAUGCUGAAAGAUGAGGAGGAAGAGAAAGCGUUGGAGAAGAAAGUGGAAGAACGAGCAGUCUGAGAGAGCCAGAGAGCAGAGCACUCCCAGGCACGGCUCAGAGACCGGGACGGCACCUGGCAAACCCACUGUCUCUACAGAAUCACCCCCUGGGUGCUGUUUCUGCUAGAACCUCAGAAAGUAACUUGUGACUCCACUGAGACACUCUGCAGUGGAAAUGCUCACCAGGAUGUUCUGAACUUCGUUUGUUCAUAAGACCUCUCUGCUGUCCAGAAGAUGUCCCUUGAUGCCCGAAGCAAUAAUGAUAAUGUGUGGAAUAGAAUUGCUUCAUGUCCUUCUUUUCUGCAUCUGCUACUCCAAGAAUCAGUGAACAUGGGAGCAUGCUCUGAGAUACUCCCAGCCACUGAAGAGCUUAUGGACUCUGACCGGUUUCAGUGCUAAACAGCUUGGCAUUUAAUUAUCCAAAGGAGGGAGAAAAUAUUUCAUCACCACACCCGUUUUACUGAUUGUUCUCUGCAAGGAUUUCCGUCUCCAGGCUCGCUUUUUCGGUGGAAAAAUACUGGUUCCAGGGAGGAAUGAAGAGAGCAAACCAGCAUUCCACGGUGUCCUGGAAGGGCAGUGCUUUAUGGCACUAAUCACUUGUUCCAGGAAGGGAGCUUAACUUCCCAGAUUUCCAAGACAACACGAGAGAACGCAGCAAUCCAAGGUAAGACACAGUGCACUGAAGCGCAUUGCAAAAUUCAGUCGGAACACAAAUCCUUUGGAGGAAAAUCUCAGUAUUUCAAA